rnacentral:rRNA from 1 species
GAUGAACGCUGGCGGCGUGCCUAAUACAUGCAAGUCGAGCGAACAGACGAGGAGCUUGCUCCUCUGACGUUAGCGGCGGACGGGUGAGUAACACGUGGAUAACCUACCUAUAAUACUGGGAUAACUUCGGGAAACCGGAGCUAAUACCGGAUAAUAUAUUUAACCGCAUGGUUCAAUAGUGAAAGACGGUUUUGCUGUCACUUAUAGAUGUAUCCGCGCCGCAUUAGCUAGUUGGUAAGGUAACGGCUUACCAAGGCAACGAUGCGUAGCCGACCUGAGAGGGUGAUCGGCCACACUGGAACUGAGACACGGUCCAGACUCCUACGGGAGGCAGCAGUAGGGAAUCUUCCGCAAUGGGCGAAAGCCUGACGGAGCAACGCCGCGUGAGUGAUGAAGGUCUUCGGAUCGUAAAACUCUGUUAUUAGGGAAGAACAAAUGUGUAAGUAACUAUGCACGUCUUGACGGUACCUAAUCAGAAAGCCACGGCUAACUACGUG